rnacentral:rRNA from 1 species
AACGAACGCUGGCGGCGUGCCUAACACAUGCAAGUCGAGCGAGAAAGCUCCUUCGGGAGUGAGUAAAGCGGCGCACGGGUGAGUAACACGUAGGUAACCUACCCUCGAGCCUGGGAUAACCUACCGAAAGGUGGGCUAAUACCGGAUAUGACCACGGGAGCCACGGCUCCUGCGGUGAAAGAUGGCCUAAGCUUGCAAGCUAUCACUUGAGGAUGGGCCUGCGCACCAUAGCUAGUUGGCGGGGUAAUGGCCCACCAAGGCUAUGAUGGUUAGCUGGUCUGAGAGGAUGGCCAGCCACACUGGGACUGAAACACGGCCCAGACUCCUACGGAGGCAGCAGUGGGGGAUAUUGCGCAAUGGGCGAAAGCCUGACGCAGCGACGCCGCGUGGGUGAUGAAGGCC